AGCUCCAAUAGCGUAUAUUAAAGUUGUUGCGGUUAAAAAGCUCGUAGUUGGAUUUCUGCUGAAGACAACCGGUCUGCCCUCUGGGUGAGCAUCUGGUUUGGAUUCGGCAUCAUCUUAGAGAACGUAGCUGCACUUGACUGUGUGGUGCGGUAUCUUAGACUUUUACUUUGAGGAAAUCAGAGUGCUUCAAGCAGGCGAAUGCCUUGGAUACAUUAGCAUGGAAUAAUAUUUUAGGACCUUGGUUCUAUUUUGUUGGUUUCUAGAAUUGAGGUAACGUUUAAUAGGGAUAAUUGGGGGCAUUCGUAUUUAACUGUCAGAGGUGAAAUUCUUGGAUUUGUUAAAGACGGACCAAUGCGAAAGCAUUUGCCAAGGAUGUUUUCUUUGAUCAAGAACGAAAGUA
rnacentral:rRNA from 1 species